AGAGAGAGACAUGCGCGCAUAUCAAUAAGCGGAGGAAAAGAAACUAACAAGGAUUCCCUUAGUAACGGCGAGUGAAGCGGGAAGAGCUCAAAUUUGAAAUCUUCAAGGUUUUACCUUGACGAAUUGUAGUUUAAAGAAGUGUUUUCUGCUGAAGUUUCGGUUAAAGUUCUUUGGAAUAGGACAUCAUAGAGGGUGAGAAUCCCGUAUUUGACCAUUAUUUUCAGCUUUGUGAUACACUUUCAAAGAGUCGGAUUGUUUGGGAAUGCAGUCCAAAAUGGGUGGUAAAUUUCAUCUAAAGCUAAAUAUUGGCGAGAGACCGAUAGCGAACAAGUACCGUGAGGGAAAGAUGAAAAGAACUUUGAAAAGAGAGUUAAACAGUACGUGAAAUUGUCAAAAGGGAAGGCGUUUGACACCAGUGUUGUUUUCUCGAAAAUCAAUUAAAAAUGGCUCGAUUUUGUAUUGUUGAGACCUUAAAAGCUCACUGUACAUUUUUCGUGUCUUUUUUAAUGCACUUUUCGUUUAACAAGUCAACAUCAGUUUCUUUUGUUGUAAAAGGGUCAUUGGAAGGUGGCUUUCUUUUCGGAGAAAGUGUUUAUAGCCUUUGGCCUCUGCAAUCGGAGAGACUGAGGUCUGCAGCGUAGACUCUUCGGGGUUAGAUACAUUUGUGCUAAGUUAUAGCUUUUUAUAGACAACUUGUUGACUAUAAUUAGUCUUGUAGCUUACUCGCUUAUGCUAUUUUACCUACGCUUAGGAUGUUGAAGAUGUAGCACAUCAU
rnacentral:rRNA from 1 species